GUGGGGAAUAUUGGACAAUGGGCGCAAGCCUGAUCCAGCCAUGCCGCGUGAGUGAUGAAGGCCCUAGGGUUGUAAAGCUCUUUCACCGGUGAAGAUAAUGACGGUAACCGGAGAAGAAGCCCCGGCUAACUUCGUGCCAGCAGCCGCGGUAAUACGAAGGGGGCUAGCGUUGUUCGGAAUUACUGGGCGUAAAGCGCACGUAGGCGGACAUUUAAGUCAGGGGUGAAAUCCCGGGGCUCAACCCCGGAACUACCUUUGAUACUGGGUGUCUCGAGUCCGGAAGAGGUGAGUGGAAUUCCGAGUGUAGAGGUGAAAUUCGUAGAUAUUCGGAGGAACACCAGUGGCGAAGGCGGCUCACUGGUCCGGUACUGACGCUGAGGUGCGAAAGCGUGGGGAGCAAACAGGAUUAGAUACCCGAGUAGUCC
rnacentral:rRNA from 1 species